rnacentral:rRNA from 1 species
AACAAAAACAUGUCCUUUAGAAAUUUAUUUAAGGUCUAAUCUGCCCAGUGAUUAAUUAAAUGGCCGCAGUAAUUUGACUGUGCGAAGGUAGCAUAAUCAUUAGUUUUUUAAUUGAAAGCUUGUAUGAAUGAUUGGACGAGAAAAAUACUGUCUCUUAUUAAUUUAUAGAAUUUUAUUUUUUAGUUAAAAAGCUAAAAUUUUAUUAAAAGACGAGAAGACCCUAUAAAGCUUUAUAUUUAUUAAAUUUAUUAAAUUUUGGUAGUUUUUAUUUUUUAAUUUUAUAUAAUAUUGGGUUGGGGAAAUUUAAAGAUUUAAAUAAUUCUUUAUUUUUAUACAUAGAUAUAUGUUUAUUUGAUCCUUUAUUAAAGAUUUAAGAUUAAGUUACUUUAGGGAUAACAGCGUAAUUUUUUUGGAGAGUUCAUAUCGAUAAAAAAGUUUGCGACCUCGAUGUUG